CCAGCACUACCUUCUAGACCCUCCCCUCAAGAAAGGACCGGAACCACCGCAACACAGUGCCUCCGAUUCCCAUACUCGAGAGGCGGCCCAGAAGGAUACCAUGGUCGAUGGUAUCGAACGCCGCCAAGAGGUCCAGCAGAACCAACAGGGACGCACUCCCCCUGUCUAGUUCCCGGUGUAGGUCAUCCACUAGAGCAGUGUUUCUCAACAGCCGGUCCGCGGACCGGCAGCGGUCCGCGGAGGCUUGAGUGCCGGUCCGCGACUAGGAAGGCAGGGCUCCAAACUGAAUACGCUUGUUUUUCUAUCCGCUUUUCUCUCCGCUGUAAAAGUUUUUCUCUCCCCGGAAAUUCCGAGGCUCCUGGAACGUCAGUGGCCAAUAGGGGUGGAGCAGGGGCGGGGCUUGUGCCGAGGCGGGAAGAUAGCCCAGUCAGUGAGUGAGUGAGUGGAGAAAUUGGGUGGUUGCUGGAAGGUGGUUUUUUGAGAUCUUUGAAGUCCCACGUUACGUGGGCUUAAAUAAGCCAGCAGUGCUGUGCAUGGCCACAGAGUUGGGAUGCUGCACAGAAGCACUGGCCUGCAAACAGAGGCAGUCCCCGGAUCCCAUCCCAUCCGCCCCCCGCGAAAAUGGCCCCGUUCCAUCUCCGAGCCGCGCGGUCUGAGGGCUGCGCCGACCUGCUGCGCCUCAUGAAGGAGCUUGCUAGAUAUGAAGAAAUGGAGGAUCAAGUAGUACUGACUGGGAAAGAUCUGCUUGCUUGAGGAUGGCUUUGGAGAACACCCUUUCUACCACUGUCUUGUUGCAGAAGUACCAAAAGUUUGUCAUCUCUUUGCCAUUCACAAAUACAGCCCCAAUAUUGCUUUUGGGAGAAAGUAAUGCAAGCAUUCAAAUAGUGCUUGAAUGUGUUCUAUUUUAAUGAUUCUUUUUUUAUAUACAUGUACUAAGAGUCUCCUUGGAAUUUGGGAAUGCAUACUUUCCAGUAAGCAGACAUGGCUCUUAUUUAUGGCUACAUGGAAAGGAAGAAUAUUGUUGGUUUUCAUACCAAGGUUUUAUUUUGAAUAUCUCAUUAUCAGACUUCUUCCUCUGCUCCUAAAAUAUUUGAAUAUAAUGUUCACAUUAACAUUGUGUGCAUUUUGAUAUGUAAAUAGUAUGUAAAUAAAAUACAGUUUAUUGUUUAACAAAUUUUAUUUUAUGACAUUAUUUAAUUUCUUAAUUAAUUUCUUGUGUAAAUAGUAUGUAAAUAAAAUAGUUUAUUGUUUAACAAA